UACAGAGAGUGCGAACGUUGUUCGGAAUUACUGGGCUUAAAGCGCGCGUAGGCGGCGAUACAAGUGUCGGGUGAAAUCCCACGGCUCACCCGUGGAACUGCCCGGCAAACUGUAUUGCUCGAGUGUGGUAGGGGAGAGCGGAACUCCUGGUGGAGCGGUGAAAUGCGUAGAUAUCAGGAGGAACACCGGUGGCGAAGGCGGCUCUCUGGUCCACAACUGACGCUGAGGCGCGAAAGCUAGGGUAGCGAACGGG
rnacentral:rRNA from 1 species